GGCCCGGUGGCACAGUGGUAGUGCGUCUACAUACAAUAUAUAGAAAUGAGUCAUGACCAGACAACGCCGGUUCGAGUCCGGCCUGGGCCC